CAGGCUGUUUUUUUUUUUAUUAACUAGAAGUGUCUAUACCUACAUGCACUCCUUUCACUUCACUUAAAACCUUAAAAAGGGAAAAAUCUAGCUGAAGGUGAGCAUUGUUCUAAUAAUUAUCUACUGCAUAACUACAUCUAUGUGUUAGAUAAGACAUUCUUUGUCACUUUUAAAUAUUUAACUUUCUUAGCAGUGGUAUACAAGGUAUGGCAAAACUACCUUUAUCAUGAAUGAAAUAUGUAAGGAUUCAUCUUUACCUAUGCUUAAUGCAGUUGUGUCUUCCUUGACUAUAGAAACUAGAUUAAAAUCCAACACUAAUAUUGCUGGAGUUGCUGCAAUUGCCUGUCCCACCUGAGCAGAGUCAGAGCCUGGGAAGGAGUUUUGGAGUAGCUAUUUUAGUGAUGUGGUCUAAUAAAGAGUAGUUCUGCUCUCUGACUCAUUCCCUGUAGGUUAUUGUAACAAUGUACAAUACGUAUUUUUUAAAAGAUGUCAUAUAUGAACAUUUUUCAUUUCUGAGUUGAUUCAGGACUUCUCUGUUAUACUGGCAAACCUUAAAGAAAAGACUCUUUAUUUCAGACACACACACACAUAAGAAUGGACCAUUGCACAAUGGAACUUUUGCAGAAACGACGUCGAAUAAUUCUCCAGCUAAAUUAGGAAGCUAGGGGGCAUUAGGCACUUUUUGUUUCUGGCAAUAGAUCAAUGGCAGGACUUUAUGACUGUAACUGUAACUCAUGGAAAAUGCACUGUUUCAGCAAUAUCUCUUACGAAUAUAGCUGUUUACUGUUAUGCACCUUACCUACAUUCAAGAUAUGUAGUUUUGAGGAAGAAAGAGGGUUUAAAGUAAAAUAAUUUCUUCUCCACCACUAUAACAACUUUUUUUCUCCAGCUUUUAUUUUGCCUGAGUAAGUGUAUUUUAAAUGUCUUAAUCUGACAGCUAAAAUCAUCAUAGAGUUCUGCAAGGCUGGGUUCCAAAUCUGAUAUGCUGUAUUUAUUGUAUUUCCUGCAACACCCCAUCCGCUCCGCGUGGGACCACUAGAUGCCACUGUGCCCUAAGGAAGAAACUGAACCUCGGCGUCGCAGCCUGCUUUAAAUCCAAAGCAUAAAACAGUUUUAGGAAGCCUGUGUUGACUCGAACGCCGCAAUUGCUUAUUCUGAGUCUGAACAACCUAUAUGACAAGGAAAUCAGCAAAGACCUGAAGUGCUGAGAUUCCUCUAUCACAAGCCAGAGGGGCAAAAUUCAAGGUGGUGAGAACUGACUCACAUCAUUCUGACCAAGAGGACCUUCAGCAUCUAAACUGUGCAUCACCUGGACUUCACUACAAGUCUCUCUGCUUGUAUAGGAAGUAGGAGGGGAGUAAGAAGUGUGUGUUUUUGAGGCUUCUGAUUUAGACUUAGCUAUCAAAAUCCUUAAAUAUGUUCACUGAUUCUAUUUGAAAAACAUUUACAGAAGGUACGAUAAUCCGUAUCUUGAAAAGAAAUUAAAUUUAUCAUGGGAUUUUGUUUAUAAGUACAGUCACUGAUUGCACAGGAUUGAAAUCACCGUGAUUAGGCAUUCAAACAUGCAUUUAUUUACUUUGGGUGUUGCAGUUGCAAUAACUUAACUUACAGUGUUACAGAAUAAGCAAGUAGCAUAGACAUAUUGAUACAAAUAUAGAUGUGGGUAUAGAUACAGAUAAUAAAAGUAAGUAAAAUACAUUUUGGCCACAGCAGAUCAAUAUUUUUUUUGCUGUCUUAAAACAGAAGAACAAUGGGGUCCUUUAAUGUGGUUAAGAGGAAAUCACCACUUUUUCACUUGGAAUGCUGUGAUAAAAUGUCACAAGUCUAAAAACUUAAUUCAUAGAGGGCAGAAUAUUUAUCUAAGAUAAAAUAUUUAUCAGAGAUUAAGUGCCAGACUUGAUUGUCCUGAGCUUGGUCCAAUUGGGAAAUCCCAGUAUUUCCUGUUGGACAUGUAGUUUAAAUUCUUCACAAAUGUCUUGCCAGCUUAUUGAAGAAAGAAAAUAGGAGGUGAGAUUUACAGAGUCAAGACUAUGCACGGGUAUACAGGAACUAAAAUAUCCUACAGCUUACCCACUGUAGCAAUUUAAUUUGAAAAGUGCAGUUUUUAAUAAAACAGAAUAGCAGCUAGAUUUAUAGGUGCUGGGGAAUGCUCUUAAUCUUAAGAUUUGAAAGAUACUCAAAGUUCACGGGGACAAUACCCUGCAUUUUUUUCUCACGCAAAAGU